rnacentral:rRNA from 1 species
GAACGGAUCUCUUGGUUCUGGCAUCGAUGAAGAACGCAGCGAAAUGCGAUAAGUAAUGUGAAUUGCAGAAUUCCGUGAAUCAUCGAAUCUUUGAACGCACAUUGCGCCCGCCAGUAUUCUGGCGGGCAUGCCUGUUCGAGCGUCAUUUCAACCCUCAAGCCCCCGGGCUUGGUGUUGGGGAUCGGCCGCCCUCUCCGGCGCGCCGGCCCCGAAAUCUAGUGGCGGUCUCGCUGUAGCCUCCUCUGCGUAGUAGCACACCUCGCACCGGAACGCAGCCUGGCCACGCCGUUAAACCCCCCACUUCUGAAGGUUGACCUCGGAUCAGGUAGGAAUACCCGCUGAACUUAAGCAUAUCAAUAAGCGGAGGAAAAGAAACCAACAGGGAUUGCCCUAGUAACGGCGAGUGAAGCGGCAACAGCUCAAAUUUGAAAUCUGGCCCUCGGGUCCGAGUUGUAAUUUGUAGAGGAUGCUUUUGGUGCGGUGCCUUCCGAGUUCCCUGGAACGGGACGCCAUAGAGGGUGAGA